UACGUAGGGUCCGAGCGUUGUCCGGAAUUACUGGGCGUAAAGAGCUCGUAGGCGGUUUGUUGCGUCGUUCGUGAAAACUCACAGCUCAACUGUGGGCGUGCGGGCGAUACGGGCAGACUAGAGUACUGCAGGGGAGACUGGAAUUCCUGGUGUAGCGGUGGAAUGCGCAGAUAUCAGGAGGAACACCGGUGGCGAAGGCGGGUCUCUGGGCAGUAACUGACGCUGAGGAGCGAAAGCUAGGGGAGCGAACAGG
rnacentral:rRNA from 1 species